GAUGAAGAACGCAGCGAAAUGCGAUAAGUAAUGUGAAUUGCAGAAUUCAGUGAAUCAUCGAAUCUUUGAACGCACAUUGCGCCUGCCAGUAAUCUGGCGGGCAUGCCUGUUCGAGCGUCAUUACAACCCUCAGGCCCCCGGGCCUGGCGUUGGGGAUCGGCGGAAGCCCCCUGCGGGCACAACGCCGUCCCCCAAAUACAGUGGCGGUCCCGCCGCAGCUUCCAUUGCGUAGUAGCUAACACCUCGCGACUGGAGAGCGGCGCGGCCACGCCGUAAAACACCCAACUUCUGAAUGUUGACCUCGAAUCAGGUAGGAAUACCCGCUGAACUUAAGCAUAUCAAUAAGCGGAGGA
rnacentral:misc_RNA from 1 species